rnacentral:rRNA from 1 species
UACGUAGGGUGCAAGCGUUGUCCGGAAUUAUUGGGCGUAAAGAGCUCGUAGGCGGCUUGUCGCGUCGGAUGUGAAAGCCCGGGGCUUAACUCCGGGUCUGCAUUCGAUACGGGCAGGCUAGAGUUCGGUAGGGGAGAUCGGAAUUCCUGGUGUAGCGGUGAAAUGCGCAGAUAUCAGGAGGAACACCGGUGGCGAAGGCGGAUCUCUGGGCCGAUACUGACGCUGAGGCGCGAAAGCGUGGGGGAGCAAACAGG